UUACUACAUGGAUAACUGUGGUAAUUCUAGAGCUAAUACAUGCUGAAAAGCCCCAACUUCUGGAAGGGGUGUAUUUAUUAGAUAAAAAACCAAUGAGGGCAACCUCUUGCGUUGAUUCAUGAUAACUUCUCGAAUCGCAUGGCCUUGCGCCGGCGAUGCUUCAUUCAAAUAUCUGCCCUAUCAACUUUCGAUGGUACGGUAGUGGCCUACCAUGGUUAUGACGGGUAACGGGGAAUAAGGGUUCGAUUCCGGAGAGAGGGCCUGAGAAACGGCCCUCAGUCCUAAGGGACGCAGCAGGCGCGCAAAUUAUCCCAUCCCGACACGGGGAGAUAGUGACAAUAAAUAACAAUAUAGGGCUCUUUUGGGUCUUAUAAUUGGAAUGAGUACAAUUUAAAUCCCUUAACGAGGAUCAAUUGGAGGGCAAGUCUGGUGCCAGCAGCCGCGGUAAUUCCAGCUCCAAUAGCGUAUAUUAAAGUUGUUGCCGUUAAAAAGCUCGUAGUCGAACUUCGGCCUCUGCCGCCCGGUCCGCCUAUUUGGGUGUGUACUGGAGCGGUGGAGGCUUACCUCGUGGUGAGCGGCGAUGUCCUUUACUGGGCGUCGUCGGGAACCAUGAUUUUUACUUUGAAAAAAUUAGAGUGUUCAAAGCAGGCUUACGCCCGAAUACAUUAGCAUGGAAUAAUAAAAUAGGACGUGCGGUCCUAUUUUGUUGGUUUCUAGGAUCGCCGUAAUGAUUAAUAGGGAUAGUUGGGGGCAUUCGUAUUCAAUUGCUAGAGGUGAAAUUCUUGGAUUUAUUGAAGACGAACUACUGCGAAAGCAUUUGCCAAGGAUGUUUUCAUUGAUCAAGAACGAAGGUUAGGGGAUCGAAAACGAUCAGAUACCGUUGUAGUCUUAACAGUAAACGAUGCCGACUAGGGAUCGGACGAGGAUUUUUAAUGACUCGUUCGGCACCUGAAGAGAAAUCUUUAAGUCUAGGUUCGGG
rnacentral:rRNA from 1 species